CCCUAGAAAACAUAUCCAGUAACUGGCUUCUACUUUCCCAUUCCUUCGUAGAAAUUAGAGGCAAACAAUGUAUAUUGUUCAUUUAACUCUUUUUGCAAAUUAACACCCUGAGAAUCAGUACUUUCUGUGUUGGACAACUCUGUCACAAUUCUGUAGGACAAAAACCUGAGCCGUAAUGUUUGCCAGAUUUAUUGGGUAGAAAAAGCAUCCAAUCAAUUACUAUUGUGGAUGUAGUUUUUCCAGUUUUGGGUCCAAUCCUGUGUAGUGCCAAAUGUCUUUUGAGAAGUGCUGAGCACUCACAGCUUCAAUAGAAACCAAAGUAUUUUUUCCUGCAAGAUGUUUGGCAGCACUUCCUUUUAAACAAAAUAGAAGGCAGGUGCAAAUGAUGGGGAAAAGCUUUGGAACAAGCAGUGAAGGAGUGGUUGUUUUAAUAUACCCAAAUAAAGGGAGAAUCAGAGUCCAUCAUCCAAAAGGGCAGUAAUAUUGGAGGUUGGAUUAAAGAUAAUUGAAGAGUAAAGGAACUUGACUUCAGUGCCAGUACUCAGUUCUUGGGAUUGAACUAUUGUUGCUAGAAGAUGUGCCUGGCUUGUCAGUCAAAAUCAUUACCUCACCAGACAGCUGGCAUGUGUCAUUUACACAGCCUCCCUGAGCUUGCAGUCAAUAUGUCUGUGGGUGUUGGCAUACAAAGAAACAGUGAAAGAGUUAGUGCAAAGGAGGAAGAGACCCACAGCUCCACUCCAACUGUCACUCAAGACCUUUCAAAGAACCCAGAAGAGCAGAACCGCAUCAAAUCCUGCACUGCAGUAGUAUUGAACGAGAACAGAGAGUUAAAUAUAAAUGGAGAGUAGUUGGUUUCUUGCAAUGGCCAGAAGACCAGUGUACUGGCUGAUUAAAAUAAGACUGAAAAGAGGUGUGCAUGCUCGACAUUUGUGCUGUUUGAGCCCAAUACACUGAGAACUUUGUCCAAGAAUGUUCAACCAUCUGAAAAUAUGAACCCUAUGAUGUUGCCAACGUCUGUGAGAGCAGCACAGGUUAAAGAUGUACAGAAGCUGCUUAUGCAGUUAAUUUAAAGUGUCCAUGAUUUCAGGAGUGUUUUGGAAAAUGUAUUUGUGUGAACCUCUCCCUCCUCUUUUUCCAUUUCCUUCAUCAUGCUGGGAGAUAUGAUCUCCUUUCACGUACCCGGCAAGUUUCCACAGACACAUAGCACAUUCAAGGAGGCAGGAUGCUGAGUUUGGAGAAAAAGUUAAUAUGGAAUCCUAUUGUUAAAUAUUUAAAGUCAAAUGCCAAAAAUGAAGAAGCACUCAAAGUUAAGUAUACAGAAAAACAGCCUGAAAAAUAAAUAGAAGAAUUUAUGGUUUUGUAUUUUGUUACAAUGAUUUUAAUUGUUUCAAUUUUUCUGCUUAUACAAUCAUAAUGGUUGCUUCUGGCUUUCAUAAAAUGUAUGAAGAAGCAAACAUUUACAACGCAGGCCAGCCCUUGGUGGAAUGUACAGCUUGCAUAACCUCUGAAAGUCCCUAACCAGACUUACGCAAAUAG